rnacentral:rRNA from 1 species
CCUACGGGAGGCAGCAGUGAGGAAUAUUGGUCAAUGGACGAGAGUCUGAACCAGCCAAGUAGCGUGAAGGAUGACUGCCCUAUGGGUUGUAAACUUCUUUUAUAUGGGAAUAAAAUGUUCCACGUGUGGGAUUUUGUAUGUACCAUAUGAAUAAGGAUAGGCUCACUCCGUGCCAGCAGCCGCGGUAAUACGGAGGAUCCGAGCGUUAUCCGGAUUUAUUGGGUUUAAAGGGAGCGUAGGUGGAUUGUUAAGUCAGUUGUGAAAGUUUGCGGAUCAACCGGAAAAGUGCAGUUGAAACUGGGAGGCUUUAGUACAGUAGAGGAGAGCGGAAUUCCUUGUGGAGCGGUGAAAUGCUUAGAUAUCAAGAAGAAACGCGAUUGCGAAGGCAGCUCACUGGACUGCAACUGACACUGAGGCUCGAAAGUGUGGGUAUCAAACAGGAUUAGAUACCCGGGUAGUC